rnacentral:rRNA from 1 species
UGCAAGUCGUACGCUUCUUUUUCCACCGGAGCUUGCUCCACCGGAAAAAGAAGAGUGGCGAACGGGUGAGUAACACGUGGGUAACCUGCCCAUCAGAAGGGGAUAACACUUGGAAACAGGUGCUAAUACCGUAUAACAAUCGAAACCGCAUGGUUUUGAUUUGAAAGGCGCUUUCGGGUGUCGCUGAUGGAUGGACCCGCGGUGCAUUAGCUAGUUGGUGAGGUAACGGCUCACCAAGGCCACGAUGCAUAGCCGACCUGAGAGGGUGAUCGGCCACAUUGGGACUGAGACACGGCCCAAACUCCUACGGGAGGCAGCAGUAGGGAAUCUUCGGCAAUGGACGAAAGUCUGACCGAGCAACGCCGCGUGAGUGAAGAAGGUUUUCGGAUCGUAAAACUCUGUUGUUAGAGAAGAACAAGGAUGAGAGUAACUGUUCAUCCCUUGACGGUAUCUAACCAGAAAGCCACGGCUAACUACGUGCCAGCAGCCGCGGUAAUACGUAGGUGGCAAGCGUUGUCCGGAUUUAUUGGGCGUAAAGCGAGCGCAGGCGGUUUCUUAAGUCUGAUGUGAAAGCCCCCGGCUCAACCGGGGAGGGUCAUUGGAAACUGGGAGACUUGAGUGCAGAAGAGGAGAGUGGAAUUCCAUGUGUAGCGGUGAAAUGCGUAGAUAUAUGGAGGAACACCAGUGGCGAAGGCGGCUCUCUGGUCUGUAACUGACGCUGAGGCUCGAAAGCGUGGGGAGCAAACAGGAUUAGAUACCCUGGUAGUCCACGCCGUAAACGAUGAGUGCUAAGUGUUGGAGGGUUUCCGCCCUUCAGUGCUGCAGCUAACGCAUUAAGCACUCCGCCUGGGGAGUACGACCGCAAGGUUGAAACUCAAAGGAAUUGACGGGGGCCCGCACAAGCGGUGGAGCAUGUGGUUUAAUUCGAAGCAACGCGAAGAACCUUACCAGGUCUUGACAUCCUUUGACCACUCUAGAGAUAGAGCUUCCCCUUCGGGGGCAAAGUGACAGGUGGUGCAUGGUUGUCGUCAGCUCGUGUCGUGAGAUGUUGGGUUAAGUCCCGCAACGAGCGCAACCCUUAUUGUUAGUUGCCAUCAUUUAGUUGGGCACUCUAGCAAGACUGCCGGUGACAAACCGGAGGAAGGUGGGGAUGACGUCAAAUCAUCAUGCCCCUUAUGACCUGGGCUACACACGUGCUACAAUGGGAAGUACAACGAGUCGCGAAGUCGCGAGGCUAAGCUAAUCUCUUAAAGCUUCUCUCAGUUCGGAUUGUAGGCUGCAACUCGCCUACAUGAAGCCGGAAUCGCUAGUAAUCGCGGAUCAGCACGCCGCGGUGAAUACGUUCCCGGGCCUUGUACACACCGCCCGUCACACCACGAGAGUUUGUAACACCCGAAGUCGGUGAGGUAACCUUUUGGAGCCAGCCGCCUAAGGUGG